rnacentral:lncRNA from 10 species
AACGCCUGCAAUCCCAGAACUUUGGGAGGCCGAGGCAGGUGGAUCACUUGAGGAAAUCCAAGCUAAUUCCUGUGCCAAAGGCUGGCUUAAGAGAGGGCCCACAAUGCAAUUCUGGCCUGUCUUCCUCUGCUGGAUGUCACCUUAUUUGAACUGGACACUUAGAACCAUGACAGCCAUCUGUGUCUAUGAGGGAGUGAGCCAGAGAACCAAGCUGACAUGUUGAAUAUGGACUUCUUUAAGGGCAUGAUGGCAAACAUCCUCAUUGUGUAAGUCGAAUAAGCCAGGGUUUUCUGUGUUUUGCACCUGAAAAAACCUUAAUUGAUAGACUAUAUUUGUCACCAUUAUAGAAGUGAAAUGUCAUUGUCUAGGUUGAUCAGUUUGUCCCUGUUUGCAUGGGGCUUUUCAAGUCUCAAAACUAGAGUCCCAUAUCCCAGGAACCCCGUUAGUCCCUAGAAAACCUGGACUACCUGUUGCCCCUACAUUAUAGAUACUUCUGCAACUUUUAUUUCACAUGUAUCUUGCAUGUCUUUCCAUAUUAAUAUAUAAAGACCCAUAUUGUUACUUUGGGGCUUUCUAGAAUUCCUUUGGAUGGAUCAUUUUGUGUCAGGAAUUGGUGGGUUCUUGGUCUACUGACUUCAAGAAUGAAGCCGCGGACCCUCGUGGUGAGUGUUAUAGCUCUUAAGGUGGCGCCUCUGGAGUUUGUUCCUUCUGAUGUUUGGAUGUGUUCGGAGUU